rnacentral:rRNA from 1 species
AAUUUUGGACAAUGGGCGCAAGCCUGAUCCAGCCAUGCCGCGUGUCUGAAGAAGGCCUUCGGGUUGUAAAGGACUUUUGUCAGGGAAGAAAAGGCUGUUGCUAAUAUCAGCGGCUGAUGACGGUACCUGAAGAAUAAGCACCGGCUAACUACGUGCCAGCAGCCGCGGUAAUACGUAGGGUGCGAGCGUUAAUCGGAAUUACUGGGCGUAAAGCGAGCGCAGACGGUUACUUAAGCAGGAUGUGAAAUCCCCGGGCUCAACCUGGGAACUGCGUUCUGAACUGGGUGACUAGAGUGUGUCAGAGGGAGGUAGAAUUCCACGUGUAGCAGUGAAAUGCGUAGAGAUGUGGAGGAAUACCGAUGGCGAAGGCAGCCUCCUGGGAUAACACUGACGUUCAUGCUCGAAAGCGUGGGUAGCAAACAGGAUUAGAUACCCUGGUAGUCCACGCCCUAAACGAUGUCAAUUAGCUGUUGGGCAACUUGAUUGUUCAGUAGCGUAGCUAACGCGUGAAAUUGACCGCCUGGGGAGUACGGUCGCAAGAUUAAAACUCAAAGGAAUUGACGGGGACCCGCACAAGCGGUGGAUGAUGUGGAUUAAUUCGAUGCAACGCGAAGAACCUUACCUGGUCUUGACAUGUACGGAAUCCUCCAGAGACGGAGGAGUGCCUUCGGGAGCCGUAACACAGGUGCUGCAUGGCUGUCGUCAGCUCGUGUCGUGAGAUGUUGGGUUAAGUCCCGCAACGAGCGCAACCCUUGUGCUUAGUUGCCAUCAUUCAGUUGGGCACUCUAAUGAGACUGCCGGUGACAAGCCGGAGGAAGGUGGGGAUGACGUCAAGUCCUCAUGGCCCUUAUGACCAGGGCUUCACACGUCAUACAAUGGUCGGUACAGAGGGUAGCCAAGCCGCGAGGUGGAGCCAAUCUCACAAAACCGAUCGUAGUCCGGAUUGCACUCUGCAACUCGAGUGCAUGAAGUCGGAAUCGCUAGUAAUCGCAGGUCAGCAUACUGCGGUGAAUACGUUCCC